rnacentral:tRNA from 1 species
ACUCAAAUAGUUUAAAAAAAAUAUUAGCUUGUGGCGCUUGGGAUGUAAUAAUUACUUUGAGUG